rnacentral:rRNA from 1 species
CCUACGGGAGGCUGCAGUGGGGAAUAUUGCACAAUGGGCGAAAGCCUGAUGCAGCAACGCCGCGUGAGUGAUGAAGGCCUUCGGGUUGUAAAACUCUGUCUUCUGGGACGAUAAUGACGGUACCAGAGGAGGAAGCCACGGCUAACUACGUGCCAGCAGCCGCGGUAAUACGUAGGUGGCCAGCGUUGUCCGGAUUUACUGGGCGUAAAGAAUGCGUAGGCGGAUAUUUAAGUCAGAUGUGAAAUCCCCAGGCUUAACUUGGGGGCUGCAUUUGAAACUGGAUAUCUAGAGUGCGGGAGAGGUAAGUGGAAUUCCUAGUGUAGCGGUGAAAUGCGUAGAGAUUAGUAAGAACACCAGUGGCGAAGGCGACUUACUGGACCGUAACUGACGCUGAGGCAUGAAAGCGUGGGGAGCAAACAGGAUUAGAUACCCUGGUAGUC